GCCGGGCAUGGUGGCUCACGCCUGUAAUCCCAGCACUUUGGGAGGCCGAGGUGGGUGGAUCACCUGAGGUCAGGAGUUCAAGACCAGCCUGGCCAACAUGGUGAAACCCCAUCUCUA
rfam:Gorilla gorilla gorilla genomic chromosome, chr21, whole genome shotgun sequence